rnacentral:rRNA from 1 species
GCGUAAAGCGCGCGUAGGCGGUUUUUUAAGUCUGAUGUGAAAGCCCACGGCUCAACCGUGGAGGGUCAUUGGAAACUGAAAAACUUGAGUGCAGAAGAGGAAAGUGGAAUUCCAUGUGUAGCGGUGAAAUGCGCAGAGAUAUGGAGGAACACCAGUGGCGAAGGCGGCUCACUGGCCCGUAACUGACGCUGAGGUGCGAAAGC